rnacentral:rRNA from 1 species
UACAGAGGUCUCAAGCGUUGUUCGGAUUCAUUGGGCGUAAAGGGUGCGUAGGCGGCGCGGUAAGUCGGGUGUGAAAUCUCGGGGCUUAACUCCGAAACUGCAUUCGAUACUGCCGUGCUUGAGGACUGGAGAGGAGACUGGAAUUUACGGUGUAGCGGUGAAAUGCGUAGAUAUCGAGAGGAACACCGGUGGCGAAGGCGGGUCUCUGGGCCGAAAUUGACGCUGAGGAAGCGAAAGCGUGGGGGAGCAAACAGG